UAGCUACUAUACACAUUCACAAGACAUUAGGCCUUUCAUGUAAUAUUUUUCUAGGCAAGAAAACAUUGCUAUAUGACGUAACUCGUAGUAGUAGGUAAAUUCACAAACUGUGUAUGUUGUAUCAAUGACUCUGUUGUAAUCAAACUUUGAAGCUACAAUCAGAUAAAGGAAUAAUAUGAACUUCAGUUAACUGAUGUAAAAUAACAAAAAGAGGCAUGUCUAAAGAACACAAUGGAAGAAUAGAAAAAUGCAUGUAGAAGAUUACACAUGAUCUAAUCAUAUACCUUGCCACCCAAAAUUUUGCCUUUGUCGUAUCAAUGAGUUUGCUAUAAAUGAGGAAGUAGUAAUUUUUGCACGUACUCUAGGUGUUUUGUCAUCGGUUGAACGACAAGCUUCUUCAUUUUUGGAAACUACACGAACAAGACAAAACAUUUGUUCACAGUAAGUUAGUAACCCUAAAGGAUCUACUUACUCGGACAAAUUCAUAAGAACAAACUGCAUAUACAGUAAAACACAACGAGCUCUGAAUCAAAGUAUAACUAUUUGAAAAUCUUUGGAGAAGAUCAAACAAUACAUCAUUGCAUCACUACUCGGGGUCACUAACGGAGGCGCCAAUUCCUUCGAGCUGGGGAAAGGGGAAUUGAAGGUGCUCGGCAGAACUGGAAGGGGGAGAAAUGAAAACCUCAAACACUACCAUUUGAAGAGCAGAGGAUAUAUAUUUAGGCACUCACAGAAAUAAUCACCGGAGGUCCUGUACAGAUACAAGUAGGUGGUGGCAUCGCCGUCUUAGCUCGGUUGUCCAAGCAACACAGAAUGUCCUGAUCACCACACAGUUGAAAUUGAAAGUGUUUGCAACUCUGCAAAUUAUAUACAUAUCCAACGAUUCAGUUGGGAGUUUAUUCUGCACCAUUUGUGAAAACACACACUCACAAGCAAUUCGUUGAGUAGACACCGUGAAAUAAAAUUAUAUUGUGAAAAAUACUAUUUAUCAAACAGGUGAAACAAACUAAUCAGGUGCAUCUCCGUAAGCAAAGAAAAAGGCAGACCAAAAUCUAUAGGAUAUGAGACAUAUAUAUCUCUUUGUUUAUAUAUAGACACACACACACACACACGUCAUAAUACCUUGACUUUCUUCCAGAGACUAAACAUUGGUUUGUGGACUAAAAACUCAGAGAAAAAAUUACCAGAAUGGGUAAAUGAGUAAUGGAGCAAACAUGCACAUUACUGAGAGAGAACACAUGUCCAGUGCAUACAGUUAUAAACAACCAUACUUAUAUAAUUUCCAUGUGGGAGAAGUAUAUUAGGUUAUGAAAGCAAGCGCCGUCGUUCGUGAUUUUAACGCACACGACUGAUGUCAUGUCACUAUGGUGCCAACCGGCUUGCCCAUGACACAGCUAGAUUCUGUCACCUCAAUCUUUGUAAUCUCAUCAUCUUAGGACAUGCCACAUUUUGCAAUGUUGUGAGUAGAUGACAGAUAAGAUGUAGCAGUGUAUAAUGGAAUUAGGGGUGGAUCAGCAACCUGACAUGCGCGGGGGAGGUACUCUGCCCGCCACUUCCCAUCCCUAGAGGGGGCGUGCAGGGUCGGCUACCAUCACCUUGACGCUCGGCCCACGAGACUACCAUAGAUGUAUUCUCACCUGCGUCGAUGCCACGUGCAUGACGCCACGACCGCGGCUGCCACAGCCUGGCCUCUCCUACAAGUAAAAAAGUAAAUCACACCAAAAUCAACACAAAAGGCACACCAAAUCAAGUUGAGAAGUGAGAGUGCAAGGGAUUCAUCGUACCUGCUCCGAGUAGGUCGAGACGCAAUAGUAAAUCCCACCGGCUGCCUUCAUGUCCGUUCAUGAUUGGAACAGGCAUGUUUCAGCCAGCUCGAGGUGCACUUACCAAGGUUGCAAAUUACAUGAUUUACGUAUAUAUAUUGUGAGAAGAAAACCCAAAAAAACGAUUGCAUGUAUUUUUAGCGAAGUGUGCUUCUGAACCACAGCUUGGAAUUGUGUAAUCACGACAUGACAUCAUGAUUCCCCAAAACAAUUCAGACCAUAGUUAGCACAGUAUGGACACCUAAAUCUUGAACAUUCUAAAAUAAUUACAAUAUCCUCAUUUUUCUCUAUUUAUACCAGAAAUUAAGAAGAACCGCAAGCAAUCAUCAGGAAAUACCAAAUCUAGGGGUUACAGAAAGUCAAAGUGUUCCCAUCAAACUGUGGAGAACACUAAUGUUCUAUCUUGUUUUUAAUCAAAACUAAUGUUCUACCCGGGAAGAAAAAUGACAGAUGCAACUCACGCAGAUGACCAGGCCUAGGUAAUUUAUAGCAGAUGUCCACCCGUGAGUCCUUUUUCUGCGGAUUAAAAGAAACACUUGCAAGUUGUUAAACCAAAAACAGUGAAUAUAGCAUGCAAGUAAUAAUCAGAAUAUUAUUCAGCUUCCAUUUCCAUGAAUCAAUCAGAGAUAAAGUUGAUCUUUAUUUGACAUUCAAUCAAACAGUCCCAAUCAAAUUUAAUUUGGGGCAGGGUAGAAAGAUGCAAGUCAUAAUAGGGAGAAAAGCUAUCAAGAAUGCCAUGCUGCUUGUUGCGACAAAUUUACCAUGUUACACCUUUUCGUGGAAGGGUCAAAAGAUCUGGAUGCGCUUAUCUGAAAUUCUUAAAUGAUCAGUUCAAACAAAUUAUAGAGCCAAAGCAAUUCAAAAUUUAGCAUUAUGAAGGAAAGGCUCGUGAUUAGUAUGCAAAUACGAAAGGCACAAGAUUACUACGAAGUAGGAUGACUGUCUGCCAAAGGCAAAAAUAACUCAGUUUUAUGCUUUUCUAAACUAAAGCAGAAACGACCGUACAAUUGCAGGAGAAAAAUUGAUGUAUGCUUUUUCUAACCUCAGCAGUAACGAACAGACAAUUGCGGCAAACAGGCUUGGGCAUCACAAUCGAGAACAUCUAUCACCAGCAUACCGCACCGAUUGCGACACCUCAUGUUGUCAAUCUACACUCUGAAAUAUGUCUACAUACAUCCGUAUGUCAUAGUUCAUUUGAAAUGUCAAGAAAGACAAAUAUUUGGAAACGGAUGGAGUAAUAGAUAACUUAUGUGCCCCAUAAAAGGAUACCAAACGCCGUGUGAGAGAUAAGAAUUCAGGGUGACAUCUGUCUAUACAAUUAGUUUUCAAGGCAAACUUUUGCACCAAGAUUGUGACAUAGUCACAUUCCAUCGAAUGAACAUGUGAUGCUGACCGAAGACUUGAUCAACUGUUUAAAUAUGCCUAUGAUAAAAAAUAGUUUAUUCAAAGCACAUUUAUCUAAGAAUGUAGUACGAUUUGUUUAAAGUCAAAAAUGAGAGAUUUGGUUACAUCCUAAAUUAUCAUAUAUAUUGAGGAAUAAAUUUCAUCAACUCAUGAUCUAAAAUGAAAGGACUUCUUAUUAGUGGCAUAAAGUCGUGAGAAAGCCAUGUUAUAUGCACUCUAUUAUGUGUUGGAGCACAUGUGUGCUCGUUAUCCCUCCCAUCAAGUUGCCCCGGGAUUUACAGCCCAACACGCAUAGGCCACUAAUAAUCUAUGUAUGCUUCUUUUGAACAGUGAAUAUGGCCCACAUCUGAAGUCCAUGAAACAUGACUAUGUGAGGCACUUUCACACCGGAUCGAAUGUCAGACCACCAUAUGGGUCGUCCAAGACGAGAUUCUGGACUAACAGAGUCAUUUUCGAGUCGAUUUAUUAUGUCUGACUCAUGCAUGUGGCUUCCCUUCCCCUACACAACUAAAGCUCGUCCCUCACUGGCUAAAGCGAACUCCACCUAGAUCCACCAUUCCCCCGCAGUCAAUUCUUCCUCAUCAGCCAUUCCCGAAGACAUCUUGCCGCUCAUUCCUGGCUUCGAUUGCGGAGAGCAGAUCAUAACAUAGAUUGCCCAUAGUGUGGCAAAUGUCGGCAAUCUGCCCCCGGUCACCUGCAACCACAAGAGUCCCUUUAGUAUGAAUCAGAUUCACACCAUAACCAUUUGCAACAAUCUAGUCCUCUAAUACAAGCCCAUCAUAAUUCUCAAUAGUCAUUAAAAUAUGGAAUCAAAACAGCUAACAAUCUAUCAUGUAUCCAAAAUUGACACCUAUGCUUAUCAUACAUGCCGGAGAAAAAUAGCUACAAUGUUGCUGUCAAGAUAACAUUUUGGAAGCAUUUUCUCUCAAAUAAGUAUUAAUAGAUCAGACACUGACAAAAUGAUUAUGGUAGUGUAAACCAAACGAAAUGACAUGGCCCACACACCAAUCUAUUCAGGAGUGUUACAUUAAUCCAACAAUUUGUUCAGCGCAUGGUAGCUAUAUAAAUAAUCCAGAUAUCAUUCGUGUUGACAGAAAUUAGCAAUGCUCCCAAGUACAUACAAAAUUGUCGAGAGAGAAUUUCCUAGCAUGCUGAGUUUCCAAAGACUGGACUUCUUAAUAAUGACACACCUUCGUGUCCAUGCAGGAGCUUUAGGGUCGAUCAGGCCAUAGAUUUCUUCGAUGUUGGCGACGAAUCUUCCGUUCAAGCUUCCGUUGCCCCUCCACCACACAUAUUUGCGCGUCUCCACUCACUCCCCUCAUAGGCGGCCGCUGCUCGACAUGUUGAGCCACUCAUGGCUGUCUCCACUCACUCCCCUCAUAGGAAUAGUGAACCGUAAAAAUAUUUUCAGAGUAUUAGGCUUGUAUCAUGAAUUAUGUUCGCUUCUAUCAAUGCUUCAAGACGCAAAGCUUUUUGUGUUUGCUAAGAAAACUAAGCAAAUAUGAAGGUAAAAGGAAAUCAUCAAUAUAAUUCCGCAAAAACUACUACAUGGAACGGACAUGAAAUGUUGCGGAAAUUGCUGAAUCUUGCUUUUCUGGAACAACGAUAUAGAGUGUUCACUACUGACUUGCACAUACUUUGCAAUCAGAAAAAAGCUUCAUCAAUUAUGUAGACGCGGUGAAAGGGAAUACAACAUACAAAAUCUAGAUACAGAAUUCAAGAUAAUAAAGCUAGAUGGAGCUAACACGACACAAUAUGCUUCAUCGUUUAGCGGGUACUCCCAUGCAUAUACUAAAUCAUAUAGACAUACACUUCAACCAUCAGAACUAUGCCAGAACUGGAACUGGUUUGUUCUUACAUGUCAUUUCCAGUGAGAAAAGGGGGAUGCUAUACAUUCCAAGUCGCAAAAAUUGUCUUAAAAUUAUAAGAAGCAAACUAAAAAUUAUAAAUAAUCAGAAGAAGUGCUCCCGCUGAGCGAAAACACAUUGCAUCUGAACAAUGCAAAGCAACUGCAGCACAUAAGCUAGCACCUUAUUCAUGCUUUAAAGGUGUACAGUUUGACCACCUACUUGUAGCUACUAUACACAUUCACAAGACAUUAGGCCUUUCAUGUAAUAUUUUUCUAGGCAAGAAAACAUUGCUAUAUGACGUAACUCGUAGUAGUAGGUAAAUUCACAAACUGUGUAUGUUGUAUCAAUGACUCUGCUGUAAUCAAACUUUGAAGCUACAAUCAGAUAAAGGAAUAAUAUGAACUUCAGUUAACUGAUGUAAAAUAACAAAAAGAGGCAUGUCUAAAGAACACAAUGGAAGAAUAGAAAAAUGCAUGUAGAAGAUUACACAUGAUCUAAUCAUAUACCUUGCCACCCAAAAUUUUGCCUUUGUCGUAUCAAUGAGUUUGCUGUAAAUGAGGAAGUAGUAAUUUUUGCACGUACUCUAGGUGUUUUGUCAUCGGUUGAACGACAAGCUUCUUCAUUUUUGGAAACUACACGAACAAGACAAAACAUUUGUUCACAGUAAGUUAGUAACCCUAAAGGAUCUACUUACUCGGAGAAAUUCAUAAGAACAAACUGCAUAUACAGUAAAACACAACGAGCUCUGAAUCAAAGUAUAACUAUUUGAAAAUCUUUGGAGAAGAUCAAACAAUACAUCAUUGCAUCACUACUCGGGGUCACUAACGGAGGCGCCAAUUCCUUCGAGCUGGGGAAAGGGGAAUUGAAGGUGCUCGGCAGAACUGGAAGGGGGAGAAAUGAAAACCUCAAACACUACCAUUUGAAGAGCAGAGGAUAUAUAUUUAGGCACUCAC
rnacentral:lncRNA from 1 species